GAUGAACGCUAGCGACAGGCUUAACACAUGCAAGUCGAGGGGCAGCACAGGUAGCAAUACCGGGUGGCGACCGGCGCACGGGUGAGUAACGCGUAUGCAACUUGCCUAUCAGAGGGGGAUAACCCGGCGAAAGUCGGACUAAUACCGCAUGCAGCAGGGGCCCCGCAUGGGGAUAUUUGCUAAAGAUUCAUCGCUGAUAGAUAGGCAUGCGUUCCAUUAGGCAGUUGGCGGGGUAACGGCCCACCAAACCGACGAUGGAUAGGGGUUCUGAGGGGAAGGUCCCCCACAUUGGUCCUGAGACACGGACCAAACUCCUACGGGAGGCAGCAGUGAGGAAUAUUGGUCAAUGGGCGCGAGCCUGAACCAGCCAAGUCGCGUGAGGGAUGAAGGUUCUAUGGAUCGUAAACCUCUUUUAUAAGGGAAUAAAGUGCGGGACGUGUCCCGUUUUGUAUGUACCUUAUGAAUAAGGAUCGGCUAACUCCGUGCCAGCAGCCGCCGCCG
rnacentral:rRNA from 1 species